UACGUAGGUGGCAAGCGAUACUCGGAAUCACUAGGCGUAAAGCGCAGGUAGGCGGUUUGGUAAGUCUUUUGUGAAAGCUCCCGGCUUAACUGGGAGAGGUCAAGGGAAACUACCGGACUAGAGUGUGGUAGGGGAUACUGGAAUUCCUGGUGUAGCGGUGAAAUGCGUAGAUAUCAGGAGGAAUACCUGUGGCGAAAGCGGCUCACUGGACCAUAACUGACGCUGAUGCACGAAAGCUAGGGGAGCAAACAGG
rnacentral:rRNA from 1 species